ACGCUCGAUACCUACGGGAGGCAGCAGUUGGGAAUAUUGGACAAUGGAGGAAACUCUGAUCCAGUGACGCCGCGUGAAGGAAGAAGGUCUUCGGAUCGUAAACUUAUUUUGUCAGGGGAAGAAAAAUGAUUGUACCUGAAGAAAAAGCACCGGCUAACUACGUGCCUGCAGCCGCGGUAAUCUGAGCGGGCUGGCAAGGC
rnacentral:rRNA from 1 species